AGAGGUAUAGCAGAGAGGGAACAGUAGAACACUAUACAGACAGAGAUAUAGCAGAGAGGGAACAGUAGAACACUAUACAGACAGAGAGGGAACAGUAGAACACUAUACAGACAGAGGUAUAGCAGAGAGGGAACAGUAGAACACUAUACAGACAGAGAGGGAACAGUAGAACACUAUACAGACAGAGAGGGAACAGUAGAACACUAUACAGACAGAGGUAUAGCAGAGAGGGAACAGUAGAACACUAUACAGACAGAGAGGGAACAGUAGAACACUAUACAGACAGAGAGGGAACAGUAGAACACUAUACAGACAGAGGUAUAGCAGAGAGGGAACAGUAGAACACUAUACAGACAGAGGUAUAGCAGAGAGGGAACAGUAGAACACUAUACAGACAGAGGUA